CAAUAAUCUUGGGCCAAAAUUUAUUAUCAAAGGAAUAUAAAAAUUUUUGCUUUGUUCUGGAAUUUUGUCACAAUAAAGCAUUGUCAUUUGUCUCUUAGAUUCUUUCCUUCCCAGCUCCUCCACCACCACCACUCCCUAUUGGUGAAAUUGGCACAUGUCAAAGAGCUAACAAAGGGAUCUUCCUAAAAGGCGUCAUUGUGUGCCCAAAGGGUUUCUGGACUUGGACAUCAUGGUGGACUGUUUCUCCAGAUGCUUGGAGUCAUAUGAUCUACUCUAAGCAAAUUCUGACUGAGGUACGACAGGAGGGAUCCAGGUUCUGUGAGGCCUGAAAACAAUACAGUUAUUGUAAGGAUUAAGAGAGACAAUAUAUGUAAUCUUUGGCUUGAUGCUUUGCACAAUGUAAGGACUCAAUAAACAACAGUUACCUAAGGGAUAGGUCAUGAAGCAAGGAGUCCAGUGAGGAUAUUCCCUCAACAGUGUGGGCCAGAGAUGAGAAAGCUUACACUGGCACUGUUGUUUGACAGCAAAGAUGGAGAUGGAGAAGGCAGAACAGUGCUGGAAGAAAUUAAGAGGACAGGAAUAGUAGGGUGUGCUUGAUGAUUGGAUUCAGAGGAUGAUUUGAGAAGUGGGAAGAGGGAAGUGCCAGCCAAAAAACUGAGGAAGAACAAACAGAGCACCAAGCAUCAAGUAGUGAUCACUGAAUGACUCAAUACUGCCCAGCAUGGACACACCUAGGAAAUGUUAGCCAAAGAAAUGUUAUACUUGUCUAGGUGUAUAAAUGUCAAAUGAAGGGGGCAAUGUAUAAAUUUUAUUUAAAAAUAAAUAUUUUUAUUCAUAGUUAUAGUCUCAUAUGAAUUAAAGUACUGAAAAAUGACUUAAUUACCCAAAAGUGUCAUCAUCGUGUAAUAAAAAUGAACUAAAAAGAAUGUUACGAUGGCUAGUAAAUUAUUAGAAAUAUAGACAAAAGACAGAAUUAAAUCACCACUUUAUAUUUUUUUCAGGAAAAAAACAUUUUUUCAAGUAGAGAAUCUCAUAUGCUUACCUGUUAAUAAACAACAAUCCAGUUGGGAAAGGAUAUUUGAUUGGAAGUCAGUGUACUAGUCUCAGUUCCUUAACUUACCCUAUGACCGCUAGGGAAUUACUUACUCAGUUUCAUGCUAUGUUGAAAUUCUAACACUAGUUACGCUGAUGCAUAUAGCAGAGGCAACAAGGAGUCAAGCAGAUAGGUCAUCAGGAAAAGAGAAGACACCUGGUAUGAAAUAUAC
rnacentral:lncRNA from 1 species